rnacentral:rRNA from 2 species
UACAGAGGCCACGAGCAUUAGUCGGAAUCACUGGGCUUAAAGGGUGCGUAGGUGGCUUGCCAAGUGCUUUGUGAAAUCCCACGGCUCAACCGUGGAACAGCAGGGCAUACUGGCAGGCUUGAGGCAAGUAGGGGCUGACGGAACAGUAGGUGGAGCGGUGAAAUGCGUAGAUAUCUACUGGAACGCCGAUGGUGAAGACGGUCAGCUGGGCUUGUCCUGACACUGAGGCACGAAAGCGUGGGGAGCAAACAGG